CUUGCUUUGAUUGUAUAGCAUUAUAAAUAUCAAGAUGUAAGUGAGCAAUGCUCUCCCUUGAAGACCUGCCUCUUCUAAAACCAAACUGAUUAGAAGGAAAGUGGUAGCUGCCUAAGGGAUCGUCAUGUACUGACCAGUCACACUCUAGAGCCAAUGAAGGUGAUACUAUGGUUAAGUCAAGAGCAUUCUGUCUCCAUAUGUGCGAACCAACAGUGGUCAUACUUCCGUCAUUAAGUAUAACCAAAUUAUUGUUAUUGAUAGACUCUAAAAUGUCUUU
rnacentral:misc_RNA from 1 species